AACGCGAAGAACCUUACCAGGUCUUGACAUCUGGCGAACCUUUCUGAAAGGAGAGGGUGCCUUCGGGAGCGCCAAGACAGGUGGUGCAUGGUUGUCGUCAGCUCGUGUCGUGAGAUGUUGGGUUAAGUCCCGCAACGAGCGCAACCCUUGCUAUUAGUUGCUAACAGGUUAAGCUGAGCACUCUAAUGGGACUGCCGGUGACAAGCCGGAGGAAGGUGGGGAUGACGUCAAAUCAUCAUGCCCUUUAUGACCUGGGCUACACACGUGCUACAAUGGAUGGUACAGAGAGCUGCAAUGCCGUGAGGUGGAGCGGAUCUCAAAAAGCCAUUCUCAGUUCGGAUUGUAGUCUGCAACUCGACUACAUGAAGUCGGAAUCGCUAGUAAUCGCGAAUCAGCAUGUCGCGGUGAAUGCGUUCCCGGGUCUUGUACACACCG
rnacentral:rRNA from 1 species